rnacentral:rRNA from 1 species
AGAGUUUGAUCCUGGCUCAGAACGAACGCUGGCGGCGUGGAUAAGACAUGCAAGUCGAGCGCUGAUUACGGGGUAGCAAUAUUCCGUAGUCGGGGCGGCGCAAGGGUGCGUAACACGUGGGUAAUCUGCCAUGAAGUUUGGAAUAACUUGCUGAAAGGCGAGCUAAUGCCGGAUGUGAAACCUGGAAGGCAUCUUCUGGUUUUCAAAGCUGGGGACCGCAAGGCCUGGCGCUUCAUGAUGAACCCGCGGCCUAUCAGCUAGUUGGUGAGGUAACGGCCCACCAAGGCGAAGACGGGUAGCUGGUCUGAGAGGACGACCAGCCACACUGGAACUGAGACACGGUCCAGACACCUACGGGUGGCAGCAGUCGAGAAUUCUUCACAAUGGGCGCAAGCCUGAUGGAGCGACGCCGCGUGGGGGAUGAAUGGCUUCGGCCCGUAAACCCCUGUCAUUUGCGAUCAACCGUUAUUAUUUAAAAGAUGAUAACCUGAUAGUAGCGAAAGAGGAAGGGACGGCUAACUCUGUGCCAGCAGCCGCGGUAAUACAGAGGUCCCAAGCGUUGUUCGGAUUCACUGGGCGUAAAGGGUGCGUAGGUGGCGAGGUAAGUCGGAUGUGAAAUCUUCGAGCUCAACUCGGAAACUGCAUUGGAAACUACCUUGCUCGAGGGUUGGAGGGGGGACUGGAAUACUUGGUGUAGCAGUGAAAUGCGUAGAUAUCAAGUGGAACACCAGUGGCGAAAGCGAGUCCCUGGACAACUCCUGACACUGAGGCACGAAAGCUAGGGGGAGCAAACAGGAUUA